rnacentral:rRNA from 1 species
GUUCUACCUUGACGAAUUGUAGUUUAAAGAAGUGUUUUCUGUUGGAGUUUUGGUAAAAGUUCUUUGGAAUAGGACAUCAUAGAGGGUGAGAAUCCCGUAUUUGACCAUUAUUUCCAACUUUGUGAUACACUUUCAAAGAGUCGGAUUGUUUGGGAAUGCAGUCCAAAAUGGGUGGUAAAUUUCAUCUAAAGCUAAAUACUGGCGAGAGACCGAUAGCGAACAAGUACCGUGAGGGAAAGAUGAAAAGAACUUUGAAAAGAGAGUUAAACAGUACGUGAAAUUGUCAAAAGGGAAGCGUUUGACACCAGUGUUGUUUUCUCGAAAAUCAAUUAAAAAUGGUGGGAUUUUGUGUUGUAUUGACUUUAUCAGCUUUCUGCACUUUUUUCCUAUCUUUUUU